GUACAGAACGACUCUCGGCAACGGAUAUCUCGGCUCUUGCAUCGAUGAAGAACGUAGCGAAAUGCGAUACUUGGUGUGAAUUGCAGAAUCCCGUGAACCAUCGAGUCUUUGAACGCAAGUUGCGCCCGAAGCCCUUAGGCCGAGGGCACGCCUGCCUGGGUGUCACCGA
rnacentral:rRNA from 1 species